ACAAAACUGCAGCAUCUCAAGAGUGCAGCAGAAAUAAUUGAUGCUUCCAAAUGUCUCCUCCCCUGUGCUGCAGAGUACCACCAAUUUUUACAAUUUAACGCUGACUUUAAUGAAUUUAUUGACACCGACCUAACUGAGAAAGUGGAAGCCUUGGACAAGUUUCAAGUUUUGUUUAAGUCGAUUAAGAGAAGUGGAUCACAUGCAUUGGAUGAAAAAUUGGAUGUAGAUGCAGCCAGUCCAAGUCGUCAACAGAAUGUUGCACCAAAGAACACACAAGAAGCAGGUCCAAGUAGUCAACCGAAGCAUCAACAUACUAGAAUUGAUGUAGACACACUGCAAGCACUAAUUGAAAGCAAAGGUCCGAGUAUAUUUAA